AUCUUCUAAUAGCUUAGAAAGGGAAGAUAAAGCUCUGAUACAUUAGGUAACCAUUAAACUUGAAAACAAUCAAAAGUCUUCAAUCCUGGUAAAAAAAGCCACCAGUUGUGCUUUGAUUAAAUAUUGGAAUGACAUCCAGGAGUGUCCUUGGAGAUUUGCCAACCCUUCUCUGGUUUCUUUUGGUAAACAAUCCAGUUGUAUGCCAGCAAGUGAUUUUGACCUGUACCUGUCAAGGACAAAGGUGCAGCACCAGGAAACUCCAUAAAAUACCUUCCUGACCAACACUUUGCAUAUUGUACUCUUGUCAGCAAUCAGUAUAGAAACCAGGAUCAGAGAAAAGAAACUCUUCUAAAACACAGCUAUACUUCUGGACUUCUGCAUGUGCUGUUGAUGAAGAAUUACAUUUUACAGCCUGGACAGUAUAAUAGCUUUUUACUGAUAGAAGUGUUCACCACCAUUCAUUGCUGUGUAAACAAAGGUGACACAAAGGUGAGACGCAGGCAUUCCUGUUGCAACUUGGUAAAGAUGACCUCCAAAGGGACAGUAUUCCUGAGCCUGCAGUUGACUCAAUACAAAAGAUACCAGGCAGUGAGUGGUCAUCUUGAAUUUCUUGUAUUGUCCUGAUAAUUUACUGGCUGCAGACAUCUCAGCUUCUGUGAUCUCAAGUAGUGAGACUGACAUUCUGCCAGUCCUGUUAUGGUAGAGGCUGUUCUACAGUGUACCCCGUCGUGAGAAAAAUAAUGUUUAUCUUGCAUCCAACACUGCUACCUCAGCUAAGGAAGUAAAGUGAGAUUACAGGAUCUGCUUUAUGGGUAUAACUGAAAAUAAAUUCCCUUGAAGCUGAAGAUGGCAAAGAUUUAAGGAGACGGAUUGCCUGACAGCUGAGAAAAGCAACAACUUUUUGAGAUUAUGAGCCUUUUCUCUUCCUGUUAUGAGUUGAUCUAAUAAAGGUAUUGUUUCUCUCUAGUAAUUUGUCCUGUCAUCGUGACUAUAAGCACUUUUGUAGCUCUUCUUUCAAGAAAAAGCCAAUGUGACUCUGAACAUAGUAACUGGGAGCUGAAUCUUCUCUCUUGG
rnacentral:lncRNA from 1 species